rnacentral:lncRNA from 1 species
ACUCAGCUGCUGUGAGUUCAGAGAAAGGAGGCGAUGCUGGCUUUGAGGGAGGGUGAAGAAAAUUCUUAAAUCAAUCAGACAAACUAAACAAGGUGGGGAAGACAUACUGGGUCCAUGGAUUAGAAGACUCUGCAUAGCAAGGAUGCCAAUUUCCUCCCGGAUCAACUUUUGUAUUUAAUACAGUUCCAAUCAAAACCCCAGCAGGAUCUCUUGCAGGUAUAGACAGGCUAAUUCUAAAAUGUGUAUAGAAAGGCAAAGGAACUGGAAUAGCCAGAAAUGUUUUGGAAAAAAAAAAAAAGACGAAGAAAGUUGGAAGAAUCAUGCUGUCCAAUUUUAAGACUUACUAUAAAGCUACAGGAAGACUGUGGCGUUGGCAGAGGAAUAGACACAGAUCACUGGAAGAGAAUAGAGGGGGGAAGACAUAGACCCACCGAAACAUGGCCAAUCGAAUUUUGACAAAGGUACAAAGCAGUUCAAUGGAGAGAGGUUAUCUUUUCAACAAACAGUAUAGGAGCAAAAAAAAAAAAAAAGUGAACCUCAACCUAAAUCUUAAACCUUAUACAAAAAUCUACUCCAAAUGGAUCACAGAUCAAAAUGUAAAUUGUAAAUGGAGUUCCCAUCGUGGUGCAGCGGAAACGAAUGCGACUAGGAACCAUGAGGUUUCGGGUUCAAUCCCAGGCCUUGAUCAGUGGGUUAAGGAUCCGGUGUUGCCCUGAGCUGUGGUGUAGGUCGAAGACACAGCUCAGAUCUGGCGUUGCUGUGGCUGUGGUGUAGGCUGGCAGCAAGAGCUCCAAUUAGACCCCUAGCCUGGGAACCUCCAUAUGCCGCAGGUGUGGCCCUAAAGAGACCAAAAGGCAAAAAAAAUUUGUAAAAUGUAAAACUUAGAAAACUUUUGGAUGAAAACACAGGAGAAAAUCUUCGUGAUCUAGGGUUACGCAGAAUUCUUAGGCAUGAGACCAAGAGCAUGAUCUGUAAAAGAAAAAUUGAUGAAUUGGACUUCAUCAAAACCAAACACAUUUGCUCUGUGAAAAACACUGUUAAGAGCAAGAAAAAGCAGCCUACCUACGUGGCUGUGGUGUGGGCUGGCAGCUGUAGCUCCGAUUCCACCUCUAGCCUGGGAACCCCCAUAUGCGGCAGGUGCACCCCCCCAAAAAAAAAACAAAUGGUGAUAUAUGGCAGAAAACUAUUCAGCCACAAAAAAACAACCAUCUAUUGAUAUACUCAACUUGGAUGAAUCUCAGAGGCAUCCUGUUGAGUGAAAGAAACCAAUUUUCCAUCACUUAUAUGCUGCGUAAUUUCAUUUGUAUGAGGUUCUGCAAAAGAUGACACUAUAGACACAAGGAACGGAUCAGUGGUUGCAAGACAUUAAGGGUGAAGGAGAGCUUGGCUACAAAGGGGUAGCACAAAAUUGCUGUUUGGGGUGAUAGAAAUGUCCAGUAUCCUGAUUGUGACAGUGGUUACAAGAAUUUUUACAUGUGUUAAAAUUCACAGAACUAUACACACACACACACACAGGUUGAGGGAUGUUCCUUCGUGAAUUAAACACCCAGGACCGUUCA